rnacentral:rRNA from 1 species
GCCUACGGGACGCAGCAGUCGAGAAUUUUUCACAAUGGGGGAAACCCUGAUGGAGCGACGCCGCGUGGGGGAUGAAUGGCUACGGCCCGUAAACCCCUGUCAUUCGCGAACAAAUUGGUUCAAUUAAUAACUGAACCAUUGAUAGUAGCGGAAGAGGAAGGGACGGCUAACUCUGUGCCAGCAGCCGCGGUAAUACAGAGGUCCCGAGCGUUGUUCGAAUUCACUGGGCGUAAAGGGUGCGUAGGCGGUCGGGUAAGUCUGAUGUGAAAUUUCACAGCUUAACUGUGAAACUGCAUUGGAUACUAUUCGGCUUGAGAGUUGGAGGGGGGACUGGAAUUCUUGGUGUAGCAGUGAAAUGCGUAGAUAUCAAGAGGAACACCAGUGGCGAAGGCGAGUCCCUGGACAACUUCUGACGCUGAGGCACGAAAGCUAGGGGAGCAAACAGGAUUAGAUACCCGGGUAGUCCC